GCACAGAGGGAGGCAAGGCGGGUUUAAUGAGGCCAUUUUACAGAAGACGAAGCUGGAGGCCUGGGAUGGCAGGGAGCAGGGAAGCAGACUAUGAAGGGCAGGGCGAGAGCUGUGGUGCCUUGAAGGAAUUCCUUUAACAGAGGUUCUACUCCUCACUUUAACUUAAAUAAUAAUAAAGUGAAAGUGAAAGGA